rnacentral:snRNA from 1 species
AUGCUCACUUUGUUCGCACACAUACUAAAACUGAAAUGAGAGAGAGUAAAUUAGCAUAGCCCCUGCACAAGGAUGGCAUAAAAACUCAUGAAGUGUUAUAUACUUUG